CCGAGGCUCCUCUAGUUGAUGCUUUCACUGGGUGUGGUCGUGGGGGCAGAAAUGGGGAGGUGGCCGAAGAUGUGAGGUCUUCUGUUCGCUUUGGCCCUGGCUUCACAGGACACGCUCUUGGAAAAUGAAAACCAUGUCGGUGUAAAAUUAGAGCUUUGACUGAAAGCCAGCCUUGAACACAAUUUGUCUUCCGUUCUUUAACUGAGAAGCUGAAAGAGUCUCAGUGUCCGGAGGGGAUCUAUAAGACUUCUGGUUUCUUGUUCAGCUUUCCAGGUGAAAUCCCAUCCAAGCGUGGCUGGCUCCCAGCUCUUGAGUUCAGCUUUCUCUUCGGUGGGCUUCCUGGUCAGGACCCCCAGCAUCUCCUUCCCAAGGUCUCUUCUGCGUCAGAACCCAGUGUCUCCCGCUGACUGUGAGCCCCCCACUUCCCCCCUUCCUUCCUGGCCUGGCCCCCAUCCCCCACUAAGCCAGCGCUAUCCUCCUAAACACUGGACAGCCUCUGACCCUGGAUGUGACCGGAUGCGAAAUGAAGAGGACUGGACAGAGGGCCUAGGCAUUGGGAGGACAUUCAUCUGACGAGCAUUGAUUGAGCACCUGCUGUAUGAGAGACACUGGGUCCUGGGGAUACCAAGACGUAUGACACCAUUCCUGCUCUCGGGUGGGAGGGAUAAGACUAAAAGGCAAAAAGGGUCACUUGAUGAGAAACAAAGUGCCUUCAGAGGACAGAACCAUUGCUGGCAUCACAUGUCCCCCCAGCAAAGCCACAGUGUUACCUGGGUUAGUAACUGGGCCUGGAGUUCCUUUCUGUUAAAUGGGACAGAAAUCUACACCUCAAAGACAAUACCUGGCGCUUUUCAGAUCAACGUAUGUGUAUAUGUCGGCGCCCGCCUUUUACGCGUAAACCCGUAUCACGGCAUUUUAUGGUCAUUUGUUAGUGUGUAAGCUUCACGUUGGUGGUAAAGAUUGGGGACAGUGAUGUUCACAGGUGUGGAAUAGGUGUGUCAUUUUGAAUCUUUAGGGUUAGCUGCAAUCUGUGCUUUCUUCUUAUGGCUGGUCCUUUCCGCAUAUGUGCGUGCUAGAGAGAAGGGGAGAGAGAAUGGGUGGCCUGGGAUAGAAAAUGGUUCCUGCUGACUCACAUGAUCUGUUUUCUCAUUGCCUGAGUUUCUAGCGAGAUCAGCCAGAAGAAAAAUCAGAAUGAGAAAGGGUUUCCUGGUAGAAGAGGAGACCAUUUUCGGGGUGUGCCUGGGGUCCAGUCAAGAAGUCUCCUUGGGCUUCCCUGGUGGUGCAGUGGUUGAGAAUCUGCCUGUCAAUGCAGGGGACGCGGGUUCGAGCCCUGGUCUGGGAAGAUCCCACAUGCCGUGGAGCAACUAGGCCCGUGAGCCACAACUACUGAGCCUGCGCGUCUGGAGCCUGUGCUCCGCAACGGGAGAGGCCACGACAGUGAGAGGCCUGUGCACUGCGAUGAAGAGUGGCCCCCCGCUCGCCGCAAUUAGAGAAAGCCCUUGCACAGAAACGAAGACCCAACACAGCCAAAAAUAAAUAAAUAAAAAAAAGAAGUCUCCUUAUUUUGUGCUUAACAGAGACUCAGAUGGCCCUCCGGCAAUGCUGGCCUGGGGGCCCGUAUCCCCAAGCAGGGAGGGGACUGUCCAUCUCCAGAGGUCCUUGCGUUAACACAGAGCCUCUAUCACCAGGGAGCAGUGCUCCUCCCCGGGCCCUGUCGGGCUGGUUGCUGCCAGCACCCCCCAGGCAGCCAUCAGGGAACCCGAGACCCCGGCCUGAGCGCAGCUUCCCAGUCACCCCUCUCC